rnacentral:rRNA from 1 species
UCGAGAAUCUUCGGCAAUGAGCGCAAGCUUGACCGAGCGACGCCGCGUGCGGGAUGAAGGCCUUCGGGUUGUAAACCGCUUUGGUCCGAAAGAAAGGGUAAAACUUGAUCGAUCGGAGAAACAAGGACGGGCUAAGUUCGUGCCAGCAGCCGCGGUAAGACGAACCGUCCAAACGUUAUUCGGAAUCACUGGGCUUAAAGGGCGCGUAGGCGGCCGAGCGGGUCGCGGGUGAAAUCCUCCAGCUUAACUGGAGAACUGCCCUCGAUACCACUGCGGCUCGAGGAAGGAAGGGGCAAUCGGAACUGUCGGUGGAGCGGUGAAAUGCGUUGAUAUCGACAGGAACGCCGGUGGCGAAAGCGGAUUGCUGGUCCUUUUCUGACGCUGAGGCGCGAAAGCCAGGGGAGCAAACGGGAUUAGAUACCCCCGUAGUCCCUGAGCGGGCUGGCAAGGCGCAU